rnacentral:rRNA from 1 species
ACUCCUACGGGAGGCAGCAGUGGGGAAUAUUGCACAAUGGUAGGGCAAACCCUGAUGCAGCCAUGCCGCGUGUGUGAAGAAGGCCUUCGGGUUGAUAAAGCACUUUCAGUAGGGAGGAAGGUAGUGUAGUUAACACCUGCACUAUUUUGACGUUUACCUACAGAAGAAGCACCGGCUAACUCCGUGCCAGCAGCCGCGGUAAUACGGAGGGUGCGAGCGUUAAUCGGAAUUACUGGGCGUAAAGCGCAUGCAGGCGGCCUGUUAAGUCAGAUGUGAAAGCCCGGGGCUUAACCUCGGAAUUGCAUUUGAAACUGGCAGGCUAGAGUCUUGUAGAGGGGGGUAGAAUUUCAGGUGUAGCGGUGAAAUGCGUAGAGAUCUGAA